UCCCAGUUCGGAUUGCAGGCUGCAACCCGCCUGUAUGAAGUUGGAAUCGCUAGUAAUCGCGGAUCAGCAUGCCGCGGUGAAUACGUUCCCGGGCCUUGUACACACCGCCCGUCACGCCAUGAGAGUCGGGAACACCCGAAGUCCGUAGCCUAACCGCAAGGAGGGCGCGGCCGAAGGUGGGUUCGAUAAUUGGGGUGAAGUCGUAACAAGGUAGC
rnacentral:rRNA from 1 species